CGUGUGCCACCACUAUCCCUUUUUUAAUAUUUAUUUAUUUAUUAUGUAUACAAUAUUCUGUCUGUGUGUAUGUCUGCAGGCCAGAAGAGGGCACCAGACCCCAUUACAGAUGGUUGUGAGCCACCAUGUGGUUGCUGGGAAUUGAACUCAGGACCUUUGGAAGAACAGGCAAUGCUCUUAACCUCUGAGCCAUCUCUCCAGCCUCACAAAAUCAAUUCAUUUAUUGGAGAAGCUUCCCAGCCUUCGCAGCAGUGUCAACGACCGAUAAGAACGGAAGCAGAACGGAUAUUGUUUAAUCAUCACUGCAGUGAAGAUAAAACCUAAAGUGAUGUUUGCAUAUGAACUCCAUCUACGUGCAGUGGGAAAAUGAGGUGGAACAUUGAUGAGCAAUGUAGGUGAAUUUGUGACAGCCAUAGGCAUCGUCACUGGGUCUUGUCCCACCUGCUCCGUGACACAGAGGGAUCGUGACUCACAAGAACGCCUGCACUGUGUGACUGUUCUUAAGAAACCCCCAAACAAUAUUACAAUAGCGUAAUCUUACAUUUUAUUUUGAAAAAUGUUCAUGAAUACCCCGAAAUUUGCUCUGAGAGAAUGCUGGGAAGUGCCUGCCUCACUCUUAUACUGGAAAAAGAAGGCCGGAAGCAAUCUGAUGCCCAUCACGUACCAUGGUGAAUGUCUUCACAGGACUAGCGGAAAACAGAAUCCAGGUCAUGAUGAAUGGCAGACAGACGUUCCCAGCCAGUUCUGGUUCUGAAAGGUCCUCUUCACUCCGCUUACCCUCCAGGGAGCUGAAAAUGGAAGAUGAGAAGGUUAUAAGGGUUCAGAAGGCUGCGUUACUGUUUGACGUGUGCACGUAUUUCUUUCUGAUUUGUAGUCAUCGUUGCAUUUGUGCUGGCAACAGCACUUCCUCAGGGUACACUAAUGUUUUUGAUUGUCAUGUUUGGCACAAAUUGGGUCUUAAGGACUGAUUAUUGAGACUGGUCUAAGUCUUAAUUUGGAAAUAAUCCUUCCUAUCCAACAAUGGCACAGAAGAGACUCCCGCAGCCUCCCUGGCUGCUUCCCGCUAGUAUCUGCAAGUGAAAAUCAUAUUUUUCUGGGGGUCAGACUUUCCACUUUACAUUUCCUAAUAUCACUUUUUUUUUUAAAAAAAUUAGACUUCCAUAAAAGAACCCUGACACAGCCCGAGGCCCGGGGACAGAAUACGCAUACCAAUAGCACUUCUCCCGAUCCCUGCCCUUUGUCCCUAUGUACACUCUGUUCAAAGAGUCGCCCUCAAAUGCAGUUCUGAGGCUGCAACAACAAACCUUCCCUCAGAAUCCUUUGGCAGAGAAGCUGAGGUAGUGCCAGGAAGAAACACGCCAAGGCCCAAUUACUUCCCCCAAUGGCUGAGCAUCCUGCAUAGAACUGCACAAUGUCCCAUCUCCCUCUCAGUGCAAACCGGGGCAUGGUUUUUUUUCCCCCCUUGUUUUCUGCCAUUUCUAGAUGCUGAGAUUAUGUCACACACUAAACAGAGAAGGAGGGAGUAAGCAUCUAUCACUCACCUGGGCAAAGUGCCAUAGAGAACCACUGGAUGCAAUUUGCUUUGAUUGCUUUCUUCUGUGUGUGUGGCAUUGAAAAGCUGCUGGCAGUGUUAUAGUCAAGGGCACCUUGGCACUGGGCACUCAGCAGGACCUUAGGGACCAUUCAGCAGCAUCAGGAGGAGGCCUGCUGAGCAUAACUGAUUAUUCAGGGCUACACACUGUACCCCAGUUUCAAAUAAGCGAAAAGGAAUGGCAAAUGGUCGGCUUGAAUUCUUAACUCCCCAUGCUACCUUGAGGGAGCAUCGACCACCGUGGACCUAUAAAGGUAAUCUGAUUCAAAUCCUCUUUACUGUGUCGUUUCCUUUUGGAAGAGAGGCAGGUCUGGAGAUGGGAAGAUGAAGCGUGAGAUUAUUUCCCUUCUUGUCUUCCUCCAUUAGCCAUCUACAUAUGUAAAUACCUGCGAUAAAAGAUUAGGGCAAGCCAUAAACAAUGCCCAGUGAACCAUCAGGAAAUAAAGACAUUAUGUCUGGGCGAGUUCCUGACCAAAGGGACCCCAAGCUACAGAGUUCUUAUAGAUUUCUUAUCAAUCACUUAACCCCCAAACAACCCAGGCUAUUGCCAAGGCUAUGGGUUGCUCUCCACACACCGAUAGUAAGGCUUGAUGUCUGAAGACAACAUCUGUACAACUCACUGAAUGCAGAGAAGUCAAGCUGGUGCCUAUGUAGAGCCUUCAUCCCUACUGGCUCAUGGCCAUGGUAGUGGAGGUAUUUUUCAGAGUACCAAAGGAGAAAGAUAAACACCGAGCCAGCUACACACUCUUUGAUCUACAAUGGUGUCCUGCCUGUGAAAUACACUUGUGCAAUAGUUGUGCAAAGCUUGUGGGAGUCUAUCCAAUAUCUGAUUGGAUUUAAGACCCACUCCGUGAGGUGAAACCCAUACCUGACACUGCUUAGGUAGCCAAGAAUCUGAUAGACGCUAUAUAGGCUGAAGAUAUAGAAAGAAAGUAAAUGCUACUCUUCUGUUAAAAACGAACUAACAAGAAAAUGACUCUUAAUGACACUGACAUUCUGCUAUACUCAUAGAUUAAUGUCUUGCUCAGCUAUCAUCGGAGAUGCUUCCUUCUGCAGUAGAUGAGAUAUUUCCAUCAGAUCCCUCCCUGCAGGGCCCAGGGAGGGAGAAAGAAUGCAAGAGCCAGAGGGGAUGGACGAAAUCAAGGAAAGAAGGCCUUCUAAACACAGUGCAACCAAAGCACAUAUGAGCUCAGAGAGACUGUGGCAGCGUGCACAGGACUUGCAUUGCUCUGCACCAGAUAGGGUCCCAGUGCUGAGAGGUGAAGGGGCACAAGUCCCCGUCCCUAAAUCAGAAUUUAUUUCCAAUGGAUAGUCACUUGCAAAUGAAAGAAUAUUUUUCUCCAGUGGAGUCUCACUGGGUAUAUAAUCUACUCUUAAGGGCAGGCCCCACACAUAGCAAUAGAUGGUCAACACAGAAUGAACUCAAUGACAUCUUUGAAGGCUCUUGGUCUCAGAAUUUCAGGACUUUUUACUUAUUUUUAAAUUUUACCUUACAGGUCAUUUGCAUAUGUUUUAUGCUUCCAGUUUUGUGUUUUUGUGGGAUUCCUGUAUCUCCGCAUUUGUCUGUGUUGUUUGUUUGUUCGUUUUUAAUGUGUGUGCUUUUUCUUUGUCUCUUUUUGUUCUAUUUGUUUGUUUUAGCCUAUUAUGGUUGUUUCUUGUUUUAUCUUAUUUUGCUAUUAUUUUUUAGGUGCGUGUUUGCUUUCUAAAGAGAAGCAGAAAGAGUGUGGACACAGAUGGGACGGGAGGUGGAGAGGACCUCAGAGGAGUUGGGAGGGGAAACCCUAAUCAGAAUAUAUUGUUUGAAACAAAUCUAUUUUCAAUAAGAGAAAAAGAAAAGAACCAGGAAAGAAAAAGAGAAAAGAGAUGAAGUUUAAUAAGUUAAGUAAGAGAUGCUGAGGUGGACCCGGAAGGCAGCGGCAGAGCCAUGAAUAAAAAGAGUGGUGGCGUCCCAGAUGCCAGGGAAGCAGGAGUCUGUUCAUAAUAGGGUUGGCAGGAUUGCUAAAAGACUCCACUCACAGCCUGAGAAGAAAAAGUAUACAGAAAUAGAAAGGGAGAUCUGACUCCCCAGUACGGGGGUAAAGGGUGAGGGAGAUCAGGAGCUCUGUUUGGUACAUGCUAAAUUUGAGGUCAAUAUUGUGUAAGAUCCCAUUGUGUAUGUUUACCUGGGAGACACAGAGAGGUCAAAGCCAGAGUUAGAAAUCUUGGAAACCUCAGCCUACAGGCAGUGUUUAACUACUCAGGGAGUGGAUGCUAAGGACAGGGUUGUACUGAGAGAAAAAGGUCAAGUGAGACCUAGCAACAUCAGCAUCAAAACCUUCCUUCACGUUGCUUAGAAUCCUUUCUCAGGGGAGCCAUACUUUUUCCUCAGUUAUACUAUCCUCCUGCAAUCAAUUCUUGUUCCAGCGUAAUAUUUUCUGCUGAUUCUAAAUACAAACUAAUCUUACUUUAGCUAUAUGUUUGUUAAAGAGAACUCAUAUUUAGCCGAGGAGCCUAGUCCACAACUUUCAGCUAUGUCGUUAUGGGAACAUAUGUUUUUAACUGCAAAUAAAUGUCUUUCAAAUGACCUUGGACUAUUAACCAAUUUCAGUCUCCAAAGUGACUAAUUCCAGUGCCAAAUUCUUAUACUUUCUAUUCUUUAUAUGUUUUCCCAAAUAUUCUUCAUCUUUAUCAUACAUUUUACAAUGCAGUCAGAAUAUCUUAUUUUAAUAUUUACGUUUUCAUUACUAUAUAUUUUUGUUUGCCUUUUAUAGUCUUUCUCUCCUGUGGCUUUUUCUUGCUGUGCCCAUGGAAGUACAUUAGGACUUCUGUAAUUUUACUAAUAAAAUAAUGUAUAUUAAAAUGAUACAUAGUAAGUUUUACAUAUUGCAAAAAAUAUAUUUACUUCCCCUAACUCUUACCUCAAAUUCAUGCCAGAGAAGCCUCAAAUGGGAGAGUUCUGGAGAUGUCGAGUUUGGCCUUCCACGUGUCUCUAGCAGCAGUGGGUAUUAAAGAGGAUGAGGGGCUACUGAAGUCAGAGGAUUUAGGUCGAACAACAGUAAGGUCUAUGUUAUUAUUCUUGUUUACCU